rnacentral:lncRNA from 1 species
GUAUCCGUUUUUUUUCUGAAGUUAGUGAAGCAUUUAUGUUUCCUUUAUUGGUGCCAAAUCAGAGGUAACAGAGACGGUGGUGGUGAGGAUCCUCUGCUGCGGGGAAUAUUUUUGGCCAUCCGUUUACUUUUUUAAACUUUCAUCCACCGUCUGAUUAUGAUUAAUUUGUUCUAUAUUUUUCUUUGAGUGAAUCAUAUUGGAUGCGGUGUCAACAUAGUUCAAAUGGAGUUUUCCAAUUUUAUCCCAUAGAUUUUAAUUUAGAUUUAGA